GCCUUCUUAGCUCAGUGGUAGAGCCUGUGGUUUUUAACUACGUAGUCGUGGGUUCGUUACCCACAGACCGUA
rnacentral:tRNA from 1 species